rnacentral:lncRNA from 1 species
GCUAAAGAAUCAAAGCAAAUGAACACAGAGAAACCUGAUUCAGUGCCCUGACAUGGAACUAGCUAGAAGAGUUGUGGAUUGAAUGACAAACUAUGAUUCCUGCUACUGCCAAUCGGAAGAAGGCUAAAAAUGAGCUUCUAUGACAAAGCAGAUGGAGAGCCACUGGAGUCAUAGAAGUGGAGCCGGGACUCCAGACUUCAAGAGUUGAAGAGAACGUCAGCCUUCAAGAGUCGUCGUGUUCCUCUACUUUACCUACAACACCUGCAACAAUGAACGUGAAGACCUGUGGCGAACCCUGCUCUGAUUACUUCAGGGGCCCUGAGUAGGAAGCAAUAUCUUUGCUGGUGAUUUGCCAUUAAUGCCCAGGCCCUAACCCAAUCGUGGCUGGUCUCUGAGAUACACUGAUUUCUGAAAGAAGUGAUAUACGUAAGUAAUACAGUACUGCUUUUUAAAAUAGACGCUUUGCACAUGCCUUGUAAAUAAAAAUCCACACUUGUUUUAAGAAAGCACUUUAAUAUGCUAGGGACAAUGAAUUUUUAGUAUCUAAUUUGACCUCUUGAUAGCACUUCUGGUAAAUCUGAAGUUAACUAACAGGUUUCCUCCACACUUCGUAUUUUCAGUCUUUGGUUGACAGUGCUAUUUAAAACAAAAAAAAAAAGGCUACUUAGUUAG